UUCAGGAAUUGCAGAGAGAUUGGAGCUAGCUUUGGCAUGGAGUUGAGCAAAAGAAUAGUCACAGGAAUUUGGGUCUUCUAACUUGCAGCUAGGGUUUCGGUGUACAGAAGAUUCUUACCAAUGGUGAUAACAUGCAACAUGCUACAGGCAGGAAAUACAGUGGACGGUUGCUCGCUGGAGCUUGGCGUGAGUUCUUGCGAUGUCAUGGUGAGG